GGAUAUUAGUUCAGUUUGAUAGGAUGUAGCUCAGAUUUACUGAAGAAUUUAAGGCAAUGACCCUUUGCUGAAGUCCUCGUUUAUGAUUUCAGCUUUGCUUUUCCCCCAUCCCUUCAUGAUGACAUGGAGAAAGUUGAAGUGCAGUUCUGUCAACAGGAGAGAACUCUCUAAUUUACUGGACAGGCUAACAAAGAAACAUCAGUGAUUUAAAAUCUCCACUCAGAAAUGGUGAACAACAGCAGAACCCCAACUAACUGAAGGAAGUGCAUAUGAUCACAGUAUAUUUCAGUUGUUUAAGGCAAUAUUGUCUCCGAUGAUCUGGGAAGAGAAUCCCAUGGUAAGUGGUUUUGAACUAGGCAAAAUGCUCAUAUGUUUGGUUCCCAACGCGUUUGUAACCCAGGCCCUAGAGAAGAUCUCUCCUAGCUAAUCCUAUGCUAUGGGAAAUGCAGCCCUUCAUGACACAGAUGUUGAGGAAAUAGAAGUGAAGUUUUUGUCGAAUUUAUCCUUUGUAGGUUCUAAAGAUGUGUAUAAAAUAAAACCAGUGUUGAAAAUGUAAUAUCUUCAGAAAAAUGGCCAUUUUUUAAUAGAUUCUCCAGCUCUGGUAACUAACGAAGAAUCUGAUCCAGGCCUGUAUCCAGACCCUUCCCUGGACCUGUGCCACCGAAUUAAAGAAAAGCUGGGCAUGUUUCAGGAAGCCAUUCCUCAUUAACACUGCUGAGAUUUUAAGUGGUUUUGUAAAGGAUUCUACUUCAGAGAAGUGUAACUUUACCCUAUCCAAGACCAAGGAUUUGGAAAGAGCUGAGGUUGAAAAAGUCCACAGCCAGUUCUUGGUUUCCACCCCAGUAAAGGAAGCUAUGGUGACCCAAAGAAAAUGGUUUGUAUAACUCCACUUCCUAGUUCAGUGUCACUGAUUACACUUCCAAAGUAUGCCAGGGUUAGAUUGAGAACAGUCAUCCUUCACUGUUUAGAUGCAAAGAGGGAGUGCUUCAUAGGACAUACCUUCCCUGUGGAUCCCAAACUGGCUGCCUGGUUGGGUAACAAGGACUUUCAGGCUAUAGAAAUGAUGGUAAUCAAUGAGGCAACAAAUUUGUCAGCCUCCAAUUUCAGACUUCCAGAUACUCGCAUGUUGAGUCCUGAUACUAUGGUUUUGUGUCUGACACUGUGGCUACACAAUUAAGCUGAUGUUGGCACAGCUGCACCAAUGUAGCUGUGCUGCUGUAGCACUGCUAUUACAGAUGCUCUAAGCCAGUGGGUGAGAUUUCUCCCACCGGACUUGAUUAGUCCAGCCCCUGCAAGCUGCGGUGGCUAUGUUGGCAGAAGAAGGUCUCCCACUCAUGUAGCGCUAUCAACACAAGGGGUUAGGGCUGUGUAACUACGUUGCUCAGCUGUGUGGAUUUUUCACAUCCCUAAGCAAUAUAGUUAUCCCGAUAAAUGUCUUUAAUGUAGACCAGAGAGGUUUCUCUUGUGUUUUAUCCAUUCACAUUGCUUUUCUACCUCCUCCUACUUUGAAAGAUUAGAAAGUGUGAAAAGAGAGGUAUUUUUCUUCAUGAUGCAAACAUUCUGAUGUAGAAGACCCCUUCUACCAACACAUAUGGCAGAAGAUCCUGAGAUAUAUGAACUCGCAGAAGUGGUUGGGUCCUACAUUGGGACAAACCACAAUAAGAACCAGGGUUCAGUUGUUGGCAAUGGGGAUUAAAAGAAAACUAACAUAUAUGACAAGAA